rnacentral:lncRNA from 1 species
AGAGUCUCCCUUUGUAGACUUGGCUGUCCUGGAAUUCACAGAGAUCCUCCUGCCUCUGCCUCCUGAGUUCUGGGAUUAAAAUGCAUGUACACUGCACCUGGCUCAAAAAAGUUUUUGGGCAGGCAGUGGUGGUGCACGACUUUAUCCCAGCACUUAGGAGGCAGAGGCAGGUGGAUUUCUGAGUUCCAGGACAGCCAGGGUUACACAGAGAAACCCUGUCUCGAAAAACC